rnacentral:rRNA from 1 species
UACAGAGGGGGCAAGCGUUAUUCGGAAUUAUUGGGCGUAAAGGGCGCGUAGGCGGCUUGACAAGUCACUUGUGAAAUCUCCGGGCUUAACUCGGAACGGCCAAGUGAAACUGUCAUGCUAGAGUGCAGAAGGGGCAAUCGGAAUUCUUGGUGUAGCGGUGAAAUGCGUAGAUAUCAAGAGGAACACCUGAGGUGAAGACGGGUUGCUGGGCUGACACUGACGCUGAGGCGCGAAAGCUAGGGGAGCGAACGGG